GUGAGGAAUAUUGGUCAAUGGGCGGGAGCCUGAACCAGCCAAGUAGCGUGAAGGACGACGGCCCUACGGGUUGUAAACUUCUUUUAUAAGGGAAUAAAGUGCGUUACGUGUAAUGUUUUGUAUGUACCUUAUGAAUAAGCAUCGGCUAAUUCCGUGCCAGCAGCCGCGGUAAUACGGAAGAUGCGAGCGUUAUCCGGAUUUAUUGGGUUUAAAGGGAGCGUAGGCGGGCUUUUAAGUCAGCGGUCAAAUGUCACGGCUCAACCGUGGCCAGCCGUUGAAACUGCAAGCCUUGAGUCUGCACAGGGCACAUGGAAUUCGUGGUGUAGCGGUGAAAUGCUUAGAUAUCACGAAGAACUCCGAUCGCGAAGGCAUUGUGCCGGGGCAUAACUGACGCUGAGGCUCGAAAGUGCGGGUAUCAAACAGGAUUAGAAACCCGAGUAGUCC
rnacentral:rRNA from 1 species